GUCAGCGUGGCGUAGUGUUUUGAGUGUUGGACUAUGACUCUGGAGACCAGGGUUCAAUUCCUGUUCAGCCA